rnacentral:ncRNA from 1 species
CACAGGUUUGGUCCCAGCCUUUCUAUUGGUUGCUAGCAAAACUACACAUGCAAGUAUCCGCUCUCCAGUGAGAAUGCCCUAUAAAAUCUUUCUAAAAGAUAAAUAGGAGCAGGCAUCAAGCACGCUAUUAAGCAGCUCAUAACGCCUUGCUCAACCACACCCCCACGGGCAACAGCAGUGAUAAAAAUUAAGCAAUAAACGAAAGUUUGACUAAGUUAUGCUUGAAUAGGGUUGGUAAAUUUCGUGCCAGCCACCGCGGUCAUACGAUUAACCCUAAUCAAUAGACUUACGGCGUAAAGCGUGUUUAAGCCCCCUUUUCCAAAUAAAGCCAAACUCUAGCUACGCCGUAAAAAGCCCUAGCUACUGUAAGCCCUAUCACGAAAGUGACUUUAAAUAAGCUGAAUACACGACAACUAAGGUCCAAACUGGGAUUAGAUACCCCACUAUGCUUAGUCUUAAACCUAAAGGACCUCUCUAACAAGAUCCUUCGCCAGAGUACUACGAGCCACAGCUUAAAACUCAAAGGACUUGGCGGUGCUUUAUAUCCUUCUAGAGGAGCCUGUUCUAUAAUCGAUACACCCCGAUAUACCUCACCAGUCCUUGCCAUAACUCAGCCUAUAUACCGCCAUCUUCAGCAAACCCUGAAAAGGACUUAUAGUAAGCUUAAUUAUCAUACAUAAAAACGUUAGGUCAAGGCGUAGCCUAUGGACUGGAAAGAAAUGGGCUACAUUUCCUAUGACUUAGGACAUUGCCUAUAACACGAAAGCCCUUGUGAAAUCAAGAGCCAAAGGUGGAUUUAGCAGUAAACUAAGAAUAGAGUGCUUAGUUGAAUAAGGCCAUGAAGCACGCACACACCGCCCGUCACCCUCCUCAAAUAACCAACCGGCACUUUUCCAACACUAUAUCAGUAAACCGCAACUACUAGAGGAGAUAAGUCGUAACAAGGUAAGCGUACUGGAAAGUGCGCUUGGAUAACC